GUUAUUGUUUAUUUGAUACAGCAAAUGGAUAACUGUAGAAAAACUAGAGCUAAUACAUGCUUUAACCGCAAGGUUGUAUUUAUUAGAUAUUCCAGAUUGGUGAAUCAUAAUAACUUCGCAAAUCUCGUCUAUGAUGAGAUAAAUCAUCCAAGUUUCUGCCCUAUCAUGCUUUCGAUGGUAGUGUAUUGGACUACCAUGGCUCUCACGGGUAACAGGGAAUUAGGGUUCGAUUCUGGAGAAGGAGCCUGAGAAACGGCUACUACAUCUACGGAAGGCAGCAGGCGCGUAAAUUACCCAAUCCUGACUCAGGGAGGUGGUGACAAGAUAUAACAACGCGAUUAAAAUCGCGAUUGUAGUGAGGGUAUUCUAAACAGAACCUAUAGUACGAUUAGAGGGCAAGUCUGGUGCCAGCAGCCGCGGUAAUUCCAGCUCUAAUAGCGUAUAUUAAAGUUGCUGCAGUUAAAAAGCUCGUAGUUGGAUUUCAAGGACUGUAAACCCUUCCAGGGAAUACAUCCUACUAGUCUUUGACUGUUACUGUGAGAAAAUUAGAGUGUUUCAAGCAGGCUUUCGCAAGAAUACAUUAGCAUGGAAUAACGAAUGUAUUUAGAAUCUUGGUUAAUUCUAAAUUACGAUUAAUAGAGACAGUUGGGGGCAUUAGUAUUUAAUUGUCAGAGGUGAAAUUCUUGGAUUUGUUAAAGACUAACGUAUGCGAAAGCAUUUGCCAAGGAUGUUUUCAUUAAUCAAGGACGAAAGAUAGGGGAUCAAAGAC
rnacentral:rRNA from 1 species